rnacentral:rRNA from 1 species
UGAAUACGAGACGCUAAGGCGUCGAAGUAGUGUAUGUCAUACUUCCAAAAGCUUGCACUGUCAUAGAUAAAAAACGCCUGUACCAUAACCGACACAGGUGGGUAGGUAGAGUAUACUAAGGGGCGCGAGAUAACUCUCUCUAAGGAACUCGGCAAAAUAACCCCGUAACUUCGGGAGAAGGAGUGCCUUAUUCGUAAGGUUGCAAUAACAAGAUCCAAGCAACUGUUUAUCAAAAACACAGGUCUCCGCUAAGUCGUAAGACGAUGUAUGGGGGCUGACGCCUGCCCAGUGCCAGAAGGUUAAAGAAGUUGGUUAGCAAUUGCGAAGCUGAUAACUGAAGCCCUGGUGAACGGCGGCCGUAACAAUAACGGUCCUAAGGUAGCGAAAUUCCUUGUCGGGUAAGUUCCGACCCGCACGAAAGGCGUAACGAUUUGGAUACUGUCUCGGAGAGGGGCUCGGUGAAAUAGACUUGUCUGUGAAGAUGCGGACUACCUGCACCAGGACAGAAAGACCCUAUGAAGCUUUACUGUAACUUGAAAUUGAAAUUGGACUUUAUUCGCGCAGUAUAGGUGGGAGGCGUUGAUUAUAAUCUUGUGGGAUUAUUGGAGCCAUCAGUGAGAUACCACUCUUGUAAUGUUAGAUUUCUAACUUUGAAUCAUUAUCUGGUCAAAGAACAGUUUCAGGCGGGCAGUUUGACUGGGGCGGUCGCCUCCUAAACGGUAACGGAGGUGUACAAAGGUUUCCUCUGAACGGUUAGAAAUCGUAUCUAGAGUGUAAAGGCAUAAGGAAGCUUGACUGUGAGACCUACAAGUCGAGCAGGGACGAAAGUCGGUCUUAGUGAUCUGACGGUACUGAGUGGAAAGGCCGUCACUCAACGGAUAAAAGUUACUCUAAGGAUAACAGGCUGAUCUCCCCCAAGAGUUCACAUCGACGGGGAGGUUUGGCACCUCGAUGUCGGCUCAUCGCAUCCUGGGGCGGUAGUACGUCCCAAGGGUUGGGCUGUUCGCCCAUGAAAGCGGUACGCGAGCUGGGUUCAGAACGUCGUGAGACAGUUCGGUCCAUAUCCGGUGUAGGUAUUAGAAUAUUGAGAGGAGCCUUCUUUAGUACGAGAGGACCGAGAAGGACAUACCUCUGGUGUACCAGUUAUCGUGCCAACGGUAAACGCUGGGUAGCUAUGUAUGGAGUGGAUAACCGCUGAAAGCAUCUAAGUGGGAAGCCCACCUCAAGAUAAGUAUUCUCAUC